UACGGGGGGAGCAAGCGUUGUUCGGAUUUACUGGGCGUAAAGGGCGCGUAGGCGGCGUGACAAGUCACUUGUGAAAUCUCCGGGCUUAACUCGGAACGGUCAAGUGAUACUGUCGUGCUAGAGUACAGAAGGGGCAACUGGAAUUCUCGGUGUAGCGGUGAAAUGCGUAGAUAUCUGGAGGAACACCGGUGGCGAAGGCGGCAUCCUGGACCGGCAUUGACGCUGAGGCGCGAAAGCCAGGGGAGCAAACGGG
rnacentral:rRNA from 1 species